AGUGGCGGACGGGUGAGUAACGCGUAGGAACCUACCUGGUAGCGGGGGGACAACCUGGUGAAAACCAGGCUAAUACCGCAUACGCCCUACGGGGGAAAGCAGGGGAUCUUCGGACCUUGCACUAUCAGAUGGGCCUGCGUCGGAUUAGCUAGUUGGUGAGGUAAUGGCUCACCAAGGCGACGAUCCGUAGCUGGUUUGAGAGAAUGAUCAGCCACACUGGGACUGAGACACGGCCCAG
rnacentral:rRNA from 1 species